GACGAACGCUGGCGGCGUGCCUAAUACAUGCAAGUCGAGCGGACGGAUGGGAGCUUGCUCCCAGACCGUCAGCGGCGGACGGGUGAGUAACACGUGGGCAACCUGCCUGUAAGACUGGGAUAACUCCGGGAAACCGGGGCUAAUACCGGAUAACUCUUUCCCUCACAUGAGGGAAAGCUGAAAGAUGGCAUCUCGCUAUCACUUACAGAUGGGCCCGCGGCGCAUUAGCUAGUUGGUGAGGUAACGGCUCACCAAGGCGACGAUGCGUAGCCGACCUGAGAGGGUGAUCGGCCACACUGGGACUGAGACACGGCCCAGACUCCUACGGGAGGCAGCAGUAGGGAAUCUUCCGCAAUGGACGAAAGUCUGACGGAGCAACGCCGCGUGAGUGAUGAAGGUUUUCGGAUCGUAAAACUCUGUUGUCAGGGAAGAACAAGUACCGAAGUAACUGCCGGUACCUUGACGGUACCUGACCAGAAAGCCACGGCUAACUACGUG
rnacentral:rRNA from 1 species